GGCUCAAUGGUCUAGUAGUAUGAUACUCGCUUUGGGUAAAUCGCCACUAACGUGCGGUGAUGUGACCUUUGCGAGGGGUCUGGGGUUCAAUUCCCCAUUGAGCCC